rnacentral:rRNA from 1 species
UUCCAUGUGAACAGCAGUUGAACAUGGGUCAGUCGGUCCUAAGGAAUAGGGGAAACCCGUUCCGAAAUUGGGGACUAAAUGAAAGGCAUGAGACCCCCCAUAAAGACCGAAAGGGAAUCGGGUUAAUAUUCCCGAACUCGGACGUGGAGAUCGACCCCUCGGGGUCCAAUGCGGCAACGCAAACGAACUCGGAGACGUCGGCGGGAGUCCCGGGAAGAGUUGUCUUUUCUUUGUAAGGAACGGACUCCCUGGAAUCGGCUCGCCCGGAGAGAGGGACGUUGUUUCCGUAAAGCACCGCGGCUCUUGCGGUGUCCGGAGCGCUCCCGCCGGCCCUUGAAAAUCCGAGGGAGAGAAAUUGAUUUUCGCGCCGGACCGUACCCAUAUCCGCAGCAGGUCUCCAAGGUGAACAGCCUCUAGUCGAUAGAACA